AUAGUUAGCGUAGACUUUGUCCUGGUGUAGCCAUAGCUUCUCUUUCAUUGAACAGGUGUGACAAUUCUAAGUUGCAGAUAUUCCAUAUGAUGUUCCGCCAAAGAAGACGAAAUCUCCUUGUGAUCUUAGCUUCUGUCCUUUUCAUGCUC